AUUGAACGCUGGCGGCAGGCUUAACACAUGCAAGUCGAGCGGGGUGAUGGUGCUUGCACUAUCACUUAGCGGCGGACGGGUGAGUAAUGCUUAGGAAUCUGCCUAUUAGUGGGGGACAACAUCUCGAAAGGGAUGCUAAUACCGCAUACGUCCUAAGGGAGAAAGCAGGGGAUCACUUGUGACCUUGCGGUAAUAGAUGAGCCUAAGUCGGAUUAGCUAGUUGGUGGGGUAAAGGCCUACCAAGGCGACGAUCUGUAGCGGGUCUGAGAGGAUGAUCCGCCACACUGGGACUGAGACACGGCCCAGACUCCUACGGGAGGCAGCAGUGGGGAAUAUUGGACAAUGGGGGGAACCCUGAUCCAGCCAUGCCGCGUGUGUGAAGAAGGCCUUAUGGUUGUAAAGCACUUUAAGCGAGGAGGAGGCUCUUUUGGUUAAUACCCAAGAUGAGUGGACGUUACUCGCAGAAUAAGCACCGGCUAACUCUGUGCCAGCCGCCGCAGUAA
rnacentral:rRNA from 1 species